rnacentral:rRNA from 1 species
CACAGACAGCCAGGAUGUUGGCUUAGAAGCAGCCAUCAUUUAAAGAAAGCGUAAUAGCUCACUGGUCGAGUCGGCCUGCGCGGAAGAUGUAACGGGGCUAAACCAUGCACCGAAGCUGCGGCAGCGAACGUAUCACCCAAGACAAUUUGAUGAUGUGGAUAAUGAUUGACGGAGCACAGCGACGUCAAUGCGUCCAAUAAAGUCGAGUUGGCUUAGGGAUACGUUCGUUGGGUAGGGGAGCGUUCUGUAAGCCGUUGAAGGUGACCUGUGAGGGUUGCUGGAGGUAUCAGAAGUGCGAAUGCUGACAUAAGUAACGAUAAUGCGGGUGAAAAACCCGCACGCCGGAAGACCAA